UACGGAGGAUGCGAGCGUUAUCCGGAUUUAUUGGGUUUAAAAGGGUGCGUAGGCUGGUAAUUAAGUCAGUGGUGAAAUACUCCGGCUCAACCGGGGGGCUGCCGUUGAUACUGGUUACCUUGGAGUUUAGAUGAUGUGGGCGGAAUGUGUCAUGUAGCGGUGAAAUGCAUAGAGAUGACACAGAACACCGAUAGCGAAGGCAGCUCACAAAGCUAUUACUGACGCUGAUGCACGAAAGCGUGGGGAUCAAACAGGAUUA
rnacentral:rRNA from 1 species